CUCCGGGUUUCUACGGAAAAUGCGUUUUCCAUUUUUGGCGAACACAUUGUUCGGGUUCCGGGAGGGAAAAUUGUUUUUGCAGGUUUUGGAAAAACACAAUUCUUUCGCGUUUUGGCGGAAAACACAUUUUUGGGGUUUGGAGGGAAACCGCGUUUUAUGGAUUUCGGCGGAAAAACUCAUUUUCCGGGUUUUAGCGGGAAACAUGUUUUCGGGUUUUAGUGGGAAAACAUUUUUUCCGUGGUUCGGCGAAGAAACCCGUUUUUUUAUUUUCGGCGAGAAAACACGUUUUUCAGAUUUCAUCGGGAAAAUGCUAUUUCGGGUUUUGGGAAAAAAAACACCUUUUCCAAAUUUCUGCGGGAGAACCUUUUUUUUUUGGUUUUGGCACGUUUUAGGAUUUCAUAAUUAUAAUAACUAAUUUAAUUAAUUUUUAUAUUGUGCUAAAUCUUUUGGAUUUCAAGAUGCAAAUGUAGCAUCCAAAUUCUACUUUUUAUUCUGACAUCUCAAAUAUAUACAUAUUGCAUCUAGAAUUCUAGAUGCUGAUGGAAUAGUGUAUAAACGAACAACAUCAGCGUCUGGAUACAGAAACAAACAUGGACUAAAUUUUACAGUACCCAAAAAAAGACUUUCUCCGGCGAUUAAUUUCCCCUUCGUUAUACACAGCAAUUCAACCCCCUCCUCAGUAACAGCUUCACCCAUUCGGAUACCACUUCUUCUCUAUUCAUACUUCUUUCACCGCAUCUUUUUCGUAGCUGUUGCAAAUCAAAAUCCACACAAUCCGCCGUUGCUGAGUCUUGAACGGUCAUCUUCCACCGGCUCAACUCCUCCCGAUGUAAUGGCUCUUUCAUUCACUGUCGCUCCCUAUCUCGCGUUACGCUUCGAUGAACUUGUUCGUUCCCGUAGACAGCCAGACGAAAAUCUGGUAUUCAGGCUGCUUCACUUUGAGGAAGCAUAUAAACCGCUAAAAGUCGGGAUUCUGAUACGCCUCGAGCUGCUGAUGCGUGACGAAAUAAUUACAAGCUGUAUUUGCAAGCGGUUAUUGUUUAUGGAUUCCCUCACCAAAGAGAAAAUAAAUGCUCAUAAGAGACCGAGAGUAGUCCACACAAUAGAAUCCGCCAAUGGGGGUGUAGAUAUACAGAUAAUGAAAGUUGAUGUUUAUGAAGAAAAGUUGGUUAGUUCUUUAAAUUCUGAAGACCAAAGGUAACACUGAUCUGUGAUUUUGACAUCUCCUCUGCUAUGUCAGUGUUCUCUUUCCAUAGCGAGUAUGUCUCAGUAACAACUACGUACCACUGGAUUUAAAACAAUUCUCACGCAGUAAACACACCCAAUCAUCAGAGCUAACAGGAUCAUGUAAAGUAUUUUGAAGUGAGUGCAACUCCAAUAUAUGGAGAAGAAAAACAAAAUGGAGUUGUCAGAUCAAAGCAACGAAACCUCUCCAUGUGUGUACCUCUUCACAGAAGCUUUAUAGAGAAGGAACUUACCGAAAAGUUAAUUUCCGUUUUGGAGAUGAUAGAUAUGAAAGAUGUUUUUGUAUUGUGGCUUCCAGGUGGUGUUGCUGCUUACCUGGAUGUGAAGAAAGAUGGAGGUGCUAAAAACCAAAUCCACCUCUAUGAUGUAUUCUAUCAAAGGAAUAGACUGGAUUGCUUCAGGCAUAUGUGAGCCUAUGUUAACUAGUAAACCAUGGCGUGAUCCGAGUUUAAUGGGAGAGGCAAAAAUUCUAGUGGAAGUAAAGCAAGAUAAGUCGUUCCCUCGGAAGUUAGCUCUAAAGAUCAGAGUAGUUCUAUGUCAAUGGUGAAGAUGUAAGUUCCUACGGUGUUCUGAUGUAGUUUGUGAUGUAUUACGAGACGUGUCAAGACAUAUGUCAAAACGUUGGGUUGUGAAGAUGUUUACAAGAAAGUUUCCUUCCAUAGAUUAUGUGUGUAAGUGGAGCUUGGAAAAGGAAUGAUAAUAUCUUGUUGAAUAUAAAUGACCUUUUUCGUUAA